GAUGAACGCUGGCGGUGUGCCUAAUACAUGCAAGUCGAGCGAACAGAUGAGGAGCUUGCUCCUCUGACGUUAGCGGCGGACGGGUGAGUAACACGUGGAUAACCUACCUAUAAGACUGGGAUAACUUCGGGAAACCGGAGCUAAUACCGGAUAAUAUAUUGAACCGCAUGGUUCAAUAGUGAAAGACGGUUUUGCUGUCACUUAUAGAUGGAUCCGCGCCGCAUUAGCUAGUUGGUAAGGUAACGGCUUACCAAGGCAACGAUGCGUAGCCGACCUGAGAGGGGGUGCGGCACAACGGGAAAUAGGAACCGGCCCAGACUCCUAGGGGGGGCAGCAGGAGGGAUGUUCCCGCAAGGGGCGAAAGCCGGACGGGGCAACGCCGGGGGGGUGAUGAAGGUCUUCGGAUUGUAAAACUCUGUUAUUAGGGAAGAAAAAAUGUGUAAGUAACUAUGCACGUUUUGACGGUACCUAAUCAGAAAGCCCCGGCAAACUACGU
rnacentral:rRNA from 1 species